rnacentral:rRNA from 1 species
GCUUGGCCCUAAAUCUUGAUGCUCGAUAUUACCUGAGCAUCCGCCCGAGAACUACGAGCACAAACGCUUAAAACUCUAAGGACUUGGCGGUGCUUCAAACCCACCUAGAGGAGCCUGUUCUGUAAUCGAUGAUCCACGAUAUUACCUGACCAUUCCUUGCACGAAACAGCCUAUAUACCGCCGUCGCCAGCCCACCUUUCCUGACAGCUCAACAGUGGACGCAAUAGCCUAACCCGCUAGUACGACAGGUCAAGGUAUAGCCCACGGAAUGGAAGCAAUGGGCUACAUUUUCUAGACUAGAACAUACGGAUAAGGGUAUGAAACUGCCCUUGGAAGGCGGAUUUAGCAGUAAAGAGAGACAAUCGAGCUCUCUUUAAGCCGGCUCUGGAGCACGU